rnacentral:rRNA from 1 species
GUAAGGAAUAUUGGACAAUGGACGCAAGUCUGAUCCAGCCAUGCCGCGUGAAGGAUUAAGGUCCUCUGGAUUGUAAACUUCUUUUAUAAGGGACGAAAAAAGGCUUUUCUAAGUCGUCUGACGGUACCUUAUUAAUAAGCACCGGCCAACUCCGUGCCAGCAGCCGCGGUAAUACGGAGGGUGCAAGCGUUAUCCGGAUUCACUGGGUUUAAAGGGUGCGUAGGCGGGCAGGUAAGUCAGUGGUGAAAUCCUAGAGCUUAACUCUAGAACGGCCAUUGAUACUAUCUGUCUUGAAUAUUGUGGAGGUAGGCGGAAUAGGUCAUGUAGCGGUGAAAUGCUUAGAUAUGACAUAGAACACCUAUGGCGAGGGCGGCUUACUACGCAUAUAUUGACGCUGAGGCACGAAAGCGUGGGGAUCAAACAGGAUUAGAUACACGUGUAGUCC